AGAGUAGGUUGUCUAAACAAAACAGAGAAAUUUAUAUUUGGUGGAGAGUUAAAUAGAAGAGGGUAGGGUUGGAGAUCCCAAGGCAAAAGAAAAAAUGGCAGAUUCCAUACACUCAAAGCUCCAAAUAGUGAUGUUCCCAUGGCUUGCAUUAGGCCAUAUAAUCCCAUUUCUCAACCUCUCUAAUGAACUUGCUAAAAAGGGUCACAAAAUCUCAUUCUUAUUACCCAAAAAUGCUCAAAUCAAACUUCAAAAUCUCAAUCUUUACCCUAAUCUCAUCACUUUCCACACACUCAAAAUCCCUCAUAUCCAUGGCCUUCCAUAUGGAGCUGAAACUACAGCUGAUGUGCCUAGAUCUUUGGAAACUCUACUAGCAACAGCUAUGGAUGAAUUGUAUGAUGAAAUCAAA
rnacentral:misc_RNA from 1 species